CAUGCAAGUCGAACGGCAGCGCGGGAGCAAUCCUGGCGGCGAGUGGCGAACGGGUGAGUAAUACAUCGGAACGUGUCCUGUAGUGGGGGAUAGCCCGGCGAAAGCCGGAUUAAUACCGCAUACGAUCUACGGAUGAAAGCGGGGGAUCGCAAGACCUCGCGCUAUAGGGGCGGCCGAUGGCGGAUUAGCUAGUUGGUGGGGUAAAGGCCCACCAAGGCGACGAUCCGUAGCUGGUCUGAGAGGACGACCAGCCACACUGGGACUGAGACACGGCCCAGACUCCUACGGGAGGCAGCAGUGGGGAAUUUUGGACAAUGGGCGCAAGCCUGAUCCAGCAAUGCCGCGUGUGUGAAGAAGGCCUUCGGGUUGUAAAGCACUUUUGUCCGGAAAGAAAUCCUCUGGGUUAAUACCCCGGGGGGAUGACGGUACCGGAAGAAUAAGCACCGGCUAACUACGUGCCAGCAGCCGCGGUAAUACGUAGGGUGCGAGCGUUAAUCGGAAUUACUGGGGCGUAAGCGUGCGCAGGCGGUGAUGUAAGACCGAUGUGAAAUCCCCGGGCUUACCUGGGAACUGCAUGGGUGACUGCA
rnacentral:rRNA from 1 species